GCGGUGGUAGUCUAGUGGUUAGGAUCCGACCCUCCCAUCUCAUCGAGAAAGUCCGACGGACGGGCAAGGUCGGGACCCGGGUUCGAAUCCCGGCCAUCGCA